UCGGGCACAUCACGCGCAUGCUAACACUUGCUCAAGGACAACGGUGGUCUGUCCACAGAAGACCAGCCCAACUGAAGACUCAUAAGAGCUACUGAUCAUAUAGCUAAAUAUGUAAUGAACGUUAUAAAUACAACAUUGAACUAUACUAAUGCGCAUAGAAAUACAAACUGGGAUCGUAUUUGAGCUGUUAGCUCAUGAUCAGAGAAGUAAGACAAUGGGUCGAACAGUCGGCGGCUUCGGUGUGCGGUGGGUGACGGCGUGGGAUUUCCACAACACAGAAGAGACAGAAGAGCUCCCGCCCGAGCAGCCAUGAACACUCCUGCACAGACACGAACUCGAGCGGCCGAUGAGUAAUCGUGAGCGCGCAGGCAUCCCAGCUUUAAUAUUAUGGGUUUUCUGACCCUGUUGCUGAUCCUUAAAAAAGAGAUUGUGCUUACCUGGAUUGAACGAGUGUGCCUUAAUGAGAAAGACUGCGUUAAAUGUCACCAAAGCGGUAAAGAAUAAAUACUUUGAGCAGUAUUAGCGUGAGGGCGAGCACUGGCGGAAGGACGCGCUGCGCAAGCACGGAACUGCAGGGCAGACCGAACGUUGAGUAGCUGUGGGCGUGCGCACAUUUGAUUGCAAAUGGAUGCCGUUACGCAAGAAGCGCAAAUGUAGGCUACCUUACAUGAUGCCCAGCAGCCAUUGACAGAGCGUACGCUUAUGUUCUCACGCAACUCGCAACUUGUGCACAGAAAACAAGCCUCUGGAGCGCGAACCGGGGGUAAACGCGAACAGAUUUGGGGCGCGAAAAUAAGGUCACGAGCGGGAAACGGGAGCGCCACUGACUGGAUCGUGAAAACGCUUUGUAGUACUCAAUAUGUAUAAGUUCAACGUCCGUUACCACAACAAAAGACGAUUGCUGUAUUUUUCGCAAGAUGAUUAAAAAUGAUUUAUAAGGAUAUAGGCUAUUUUAUCCCAAAUUAUUAUUCAAAAAUCGGGUAGGUUAAUUAUUUUAAAAGGGCAUUUUACUGUAAUGUCUGAACAUCAACACUGUUCUUUGCUUAGGCCUCUAUGCAUUUAUGCAGCCUAAAUCACUCUGGUUAAGAGCGUCUGCUAAACGUAUGCAAAUGAAAAUGUAAACUAGUGUAGUCGAUUAACCUUUGCAAUGAAAACCGGUGGUUGCAUAGUUGGUCCGAGGAGUUCCGUUACGACAGUCAUGCAGAAGGCCAAUGAUUAGGUGACCUGUGACCAGCCAAGCAUAUAUAAUUAAAUGAUUUAGAUAGUCGGAAUAGUAGUUAUAAAUAUGCAACUCAACAGACGUAGAUGGAUCUGCAUUAUCUCUGGAAAUGUAUCCAAGUCUAAACUAUGUGCAACGCGCAGUGCAAAACCAAGAUUGUAAACAUGAAUGACAUUUGACUUUGGGUACAGUCCGUCUUCAGAUAGCAAGUCCACAGUCCAGGUCUUGUCCUUUAUAUUGGCAUGUUUUACCAAUCUCAUGUGUAUUCUUAAUCUACGACCGCUAGGGGGCACUCCAUCGCAGCAAGAGAAAUGGAGUUCAGCUCUGUAUUUAUAAAAGCAGGGGAUAUCCAGUCUUGUCUGAAAAGGGCCAGUAUGGGUGCAGGUUGUUCUUGUGCUGGGCUAAAACAAAAUUCUGCACCCACACUGGCCCUUUUUUGGAAAAGUUUGGAUAUCCCUCUUAUAAAGCAUCUCAGAGUAGGAGUGCUCAUCUAGGGUCAGGCUUCUCCUGUUCAUAUUGUAACUUCAUGCAAUAUGAGCUAAAAUUCAGUACUGAUCCUAGACCAGCACUUUUACUCUGAGAGCCUUUAGAAUACAGGUUCUGAAAUCAUUUACAUUGUCAGUGUAACACGUUGUAGCAGCACUACAGUGCUGACGUUCAAAAUUUAAAAUGUUCACCUAGAACAUUCAUUCAACAAAUACAGGAAAUGCUAACCUCUGUAAUUCUAAGGACAGCAUCAAAGUGCAAAGAUUUUGUGUGUUAACUAUUAACACAACAAAACAUCUUUUUAUGAUUACUUGCAAAGCUUCAUGAUGUAGCUUUGGUCUGCAGUGGAAACAGAAACCCCAAGAAACUACAUUUCAUAGGAAAAUACAGCACCUAGUUUCCAAAUGGCUCCUUCAGCCCACGUUAUAGUAUUUUGUGAAGCUUUAUUAGUACAAGUGUGAUGUUCAAUAAAGUAAUAUAGGAUUUUAAUGAUUAUUUAUAACAUAAUUUUUUAAAAUUAAAUAUCUCCAAAACUAGAAAGCUACAGACAUGUAGGCCUACUUCACUGUGAACUUCUCAAGGCUUGCUGAAAGGGCACGACCGUUACUUCCCUUAUCACUCAGCGAAGGUGAAGGGGUGGAGUGCGACAGCAUAGCCAAACAACUUUGUAAGUAAAACAUUGCAAGUAAAAUGCAAGUCUGCCAUGGGUGUAACUUGAGCAAGGUAAUCGAUAACAACCAAAUAAACAAGCUAAUCUUAUAUGAGGUUCUUUAGCAAACAACAGAAGGAAACAGAAGGCUAUUCGUAACAGGUCAGAUUGCAUUCCCAGAGUGCAAUCUGACCUCAUUACUGAGUAGACCUAUAUGUUCAUACUGGGCUCUCUGCAUGCCAGAGGUCAUUUAGUCUCUCUAAAUCAAAGGGCCCUGAUGCAUGUUGACAUAUGACUUGGAGGGUCAUAAGUGGGGUUUCCAUCCAACAGUUUUUAUGCAAAUUUUGAAUUUACACAAGUAAACAUGAGUGGAAACGCCUGAAAUCUGAAAAAAUGCCAAAAUAUUGCAAAAAAGUUUUUACGCUUUGCCAAAGUGGAAAAGUUGGCAUAUAGAUAAUCAUGGAUACAGAUUUUACAAGUAAAAGAUGAUGUGACAAUGACCUAAGUUAUAUUCCUCUGCUCCAGAAAACCCAAAAGUCUAAAACGGUUUACCCAAAGCUGGUGUGUGAAAUGGCUGUGUACAACAAUCUCCCAGAAUUGUGUUUGCAUUCCCAGGUGUAUAGUGGAUUCGUAGAUGAUAUAGAAAUUUGAGCUGUCAUUAAAUAGACCAUUGCAUGCCCUCUUUGUAAAUGGACUGUUUUUGCUCUCACAAUCUGAUCAUGUCCUGCACUGACAUUCUGUCACCUGAGGAUGAGUUGCUCUUCUGUUUUUCCUUACAUAUCGCACUAGUGCAUGAGCAUCACUUUGGUCAUUGAAUGUGCGCUUUCGACCACAAUUUUUACUGAUGUCUUUCCCAUAUAUCUAAAUGCAGAUGUCACUUUAGUCACUGUUCCUGUUGAAACACUAGCCAUUUGGGCAGUCUUUGUGACUGAAGCUCCUGCCAUCCGUGCCCCAAUAAUGAACCCUUUUUCAAAGUCUUACAUCUUUUACUCUUGCCAUCUUGAUCCAAAAUCGAGGUCAACUGGGUCUGCUCAACAUUUUUACACAUGCCACAGAGCAUGAUAGGAUGUUAAUUGCUUAAUUGUAUCAUGCAGUACACCUGUAUGGAAACAUCACACAUUUGUUCCCUUCUCGGUGAAAGUGGCUGAUGAAAAGUAGAGUCUUUUGCACUGAAGACUAUAGUGGUGAUCACACAUUUUUAAUUGCAGCAGUGUCUUAAAUAAACCUUGGCUCACUUUGAGUGCACUAUUCCCAUGGCAACCACCCUCUGCAUCCAGGGUCCAUGACAACAAGGCAUCACCCAGUAUUUAUGCACUUCUGCCUUCAAACAUGCCAUCUCAGACAUUUUCACUGAUUCCUGCAACUGUUCUUCUACCAUGUAAUAUCCCCAAAACACUCUUUGGUUUUUUUUUUUCCCCUCUCCCCCAUAUCUCGUUUGUUGACUGUUAUUUGCUUGCCUGUGUUUUCAUAUGCCUAUGUUUAGUUUGUUAUUAUUGAUGUAUUUUGUGCUUUUAACAUGCUUUUAUCUUCUAGCCCACCUCCCCUUCCCUUAAGUGGCUUUUGUCACUUGUCAGGCCGUCAUUGUAAAUAAGAACUUGUUCUUAA